rnacentral:rRNA from 1 species
UACGAAGGGAUCUAGCGUUGUUCGGAAUUACUGGGCGUAAAGGGCGUGUAGGCGGCUUGGCAAGUCAGAAGUGAAAGCCCAAGGCUCAACCUUGGAACUGCUUUUGAUACUGCUUUGCUUGAGGAUAGGAGAGGUCAGUGGAAUUCCCAGUGUAGAGGUGAAAUUCGUAGAUAUUGGGAGGAACACCAGUGGCGAAGGCGACUGACUGGACUAUUUCUGACGCUGAGGCGCGAAAGUGUGGGGAUCAAACAGG